rnacentral:rRNA from 1 species
AAGCAGGGGAUCGUAAGACCUUGCGCUUUUGGAGCGGCCGAUGUCUGAUUAGCUAGUUGGUGGGGUAAUGGCCUACCAAGGCUACGAUCAGUAGCUGGUCUGAGAGGACGGCCAGCCACACUGGGACUGAGACACGGCCCAGACUCCUACGGGAGGCAGCAGUGGGGAAUUUUGGACAAUGGGCGCAAGCCUGAUCCAGCCAUGCCGCGUGAGUGAAGAAGGCCUUCGGGUUGUAAAGCUCUUUCAGCCGGGAAGAAAAGGUUGCGAUUAAUAAUCGCAAUUCAUGACGGUACCGAAAGAAGAAGCACCGGCUAACUACGUGCCAGCAGCCGCGGUAAUACGUAGGGUGCGAGCGUUAAUCGGAAUUACUGGGCGUAAAGGGUGCGCAGGCGGUUUUGUAAGUCAGAUGUGAAAUCCCCGGGCUUAACCUGGGAACUGCGUUUGAAACUACAAGCUUAGA